rnacentral:rRNA from 1 species
AUUGAACGCUGGCGGCAUGCCUAACACAUGCAAGUCGAACGGAAACACGAAGAACCUUGCUUCUUUGCUGUCGAGGGGCGGACGGGAGUGAAACGUCUAUGAAACUGCCUUAUGGAUGGGGAAACCUCCUGGAAACGGUACCAAUAACCGCUUAUCGUCUCAACACCAAAGAGCAGGACCGUCAGGCCUCUUUCCUGCCGAUUUUCCCUGAUUCCAUGCGGUAUUAGCUAGUAGGUCAGGUAACGGCUCACCUAGGCGACGAUGCCUAUCCGAGCUGAGAGGAUGACCAGCCACACUGGAACUGAGACACGGUCCAGACUCCUACGGGAGGCAGCAGUGGGGAAUAUUGCACAAUGGGCGCAAGCCUGAUGCAGCCAUGCCGCGUGUGUGAAGAAGGCCUUCGGGUUGUAAAGUACUUUCAGCGGGGAAGAAGGGAGUUAAGUUAAUACCUUCGCUCAUUGACGUUACCCGCAGAAGAAGCACCGGCUAACUCCGUG